CUACCUUUGGUAGCCAAGGAUGAUUUGCCUAUAUGCUCAUUGAGACCUUUGGUAGCUUGAGUUAUAGAAAUAUUGAGAUCUUAAUGUUGGUUCAUAGGCAACUCCUUGGCUAUGCUAAGUGGUUC
rnacentral:pre_miRNA from 1 species